rnacentral:lncRNA from 1 species
CGCUGUCUCUGCAGGGCUUGCAGCAUGGAGGACCACCGGCCAACCCGGGCUUCCCAUGAGCAUCUUGUUCUGAGGAAGGAGGCUCAAGGGGCACAGCUGCCCAUUGGUUCCUCCUUCUGAAUUCCAGCAAAUGAGGAGGAGGAGUCGAAUCAGGAGUGGGUAACAGUCAUUCCCCCUUCAGCAUAAAAGCGGAGGUAGGAGCAGUAUAGACCGCUUAACAGGCAUCUUCAGGCGACUUGCCCAAGCUAAGGUGAGUACCUGGCUGGUUCAGAGCCAGGGGCAGAGCUGGGCACAGCUGAAGCUGAUGGGAAUGUGAAAAGAAGCUGUCUGUACUGCUCACCAACUGGCUCACGAGUUUGCUCUGCCUUCAUUAAUGAAGUAAAAAUUACAUACAGUAAAGUGUAAGAUAUUGCUGACUUUCUCUAUGUAGACAUUCACAUAACCUCCGCAGAUUUGAAAUAUGGAACAUUUUCUAGUCUGCUUUCAAAAAACCUGCCCCACACUUUCUGCUGACCUGAGGAAUAUCCUAGAAAUUGUAUUUCCAUAAAAUUUACUCUCCAUGCUUACUUUAACAAAUGUAAUCUUUAAAUUGUACCCUCUUUAUCAAUGUGAGCAAUCGUUUUAAUUUUUAAGCAUUGAAAAAUUAAUUUUUAAGUUUAAAAAAAUUCAACUUAUCAAGAGGUAGUAUUCUUUCAAAGAAAUGAUUGUCUGUCCUAGGCACUGGCUUCCUUCCUCUUAGAGAGAAAUUAGAAGUUUUCUUUCCCCUUUGGUGACAGCAUCAGAUUUAGAAUUACCUCACCAGUGGAAGGUUUCUCAUCAUUAGUCAACCAGUGACAGUCAGAGCAAAAGAAAUACAUUUUCAAAAGGAAAGCACUUCUCCAGGAAGUGUUUUGUUUGUUUGUUUAGGACACAUUCAGUGUUUUAGAGGAAAACACGUUGGCUUUGUGAAUGGGUAUAUUGUCUUUCCGUAAUGCAAGUGGAAUUCUCAUGCUGAAACAUUUCUCAUUUCUUUAAAUGGCCACACUGGAGGCAUAUGGAAGUUCCUGUGCCAGGGAUUGACUCCAAGCUCCAGCUGCGAUGUGUGCCAGAUCCUUUAACCCACCGUACCUGGCUGGGGAUCAAACCCACACCUCUGCAGUAAACCAAGCCACUUCAGUCAGAUUCUUAACCCACUGCACCACAGCGGGAACUCUGACGCCUGUGCUUGAAGAUCACAUGCAUCGCCAAGCUCGAGAUGAGAACAUGAGAUGACUCAGUGCAAAUCUUUGCCACAACUGGAACCAAGAGCACGUGUGGGACUCUGAGGAGGGCCUUGUCCUCCCCCUGUGCCUGAGUCACGAUCCUCAUGAAUGGACCACUCACCAUGCUGGACGUGGGAGAGUGUGGGUUUCUGUGGGGGAGUGUGUUCUGUAAAAUGGAAAUAUAAGAGAGCCAAACUCAGAAUCAUUUGAAGCCCGGUGAAAAGGAAUCUUAGGUUUUGUGUUUCCUGCCUUGGUAGAAAGAGAUCAGUCAGAGAAAAAAAGUUCAUAUCAAGAAUUUUUUUUUCCUUCAAAACCUGAAACAAACCAACCAUAAGUAAAACAGAGAAUUUCAAGCUUCAACUCAACUUACUUGUUUACUUCCUGUUCAUUCCAGAUUGUCAGGAAAAACAGAUCGUCAAAGUGGUACUCCAUGGUGUAUGUGUACUGAACUGCGUACAAGCCUAUGUCCUUGUGUUUUCAAGCAAAAACCUUUUCAUUUAAGCCUUUAGCCUCCCAGGCCUCAAGAUUUGAAAAUGAGGAAAUACUGAUACAGCUACAAACUAGUUGAAACAGUCUCCAUUAUGCUAGGACUUGCCUUGACCCACUAACUUACUCAAACUAGCCUUUCACAAAUGAUUUCCUCCUUGCUUAAUUGCUUUCUUUUACUAAUGAUUACUUUCUAGUUAAGGUUAUAUUGUAUGCCUAGUGUUUUCUUUUCCUUUGAGACACUCCCUAAGUCCCCAUUCCUUCCAUGAGCCAUCUUCUCUGCAGAGAGAAGGUCAAGGCGAGAUAACCCCAAAGACCACCAGAAACCAUCACUGGACACAUGACUUGAGCCUUGAUGAUUCUGAGGUGGUCUUUGGAGGGAGAAGAAUACAGGCACCUUGAUCCCUAUCAACAGCCCUUUUGUCUUCCAAGCUAAACCUAUAAAAAUCCCUUGCUAUCCCCUCUCAAGAGAGGACACUGUUUUUAGGGCAUUAGCCUGCUGUGGCCUCCUUUGCCUGGCAAAGCAAUAAAGUUGUCCUCUCUACUUCACCCCAAACUCUUGCCUCCAAGUCUUAUUUGAUGCUGGUGUACAGAGGCUGGUUUUCAGCUACAGUAGUACCACAUCUUCUUGAUCCAUUCAGUGGAACACUACUCAGCCAUAAAUAAGAAUGAAAUAAAGCCAUUUGCAGCAACAUGGAUGCAACUAGAUAUUCUCAUACUAAAUGAAGUAAGUUAGAAAGACAAAUAUUAUAUGAUAUCACUUCUGUGUGGAAUCUAAAAUAUGGCACAAAUGAACUUAUCUGCAGAACAGAAACAGAUUCACAGACAUACAGAAUAGACUUGUGGCUGCCAAGGGGAAGGGGGAAGGGAGUGGGAUGGACGGGAAGUUUGGGCUUAGUAGAUGCAACUUUUGCCUUUAGAAUGGAUAAGCAAUGAGGUUCUGCUCUAUAGCACAGGGAACUAUAUCCAAUCUCCUGGGAUAGAACAUGACGGAGGAUAAUGUGAGAAAAAGAAUACAUAUGUGCAUGGCUGGGUAACUUUGCUGUACAGCAGAAAUUGGCACAACAUUGUAAAUCAACUGUACUUUAAUAAAACAAUUUUUAAGAAUGG